rnacentral:rRNA from 1 species
GACAGCAGCCGCCACGGUAAUACGUAGGGUGCAAGCGUUAAUCGGAAUUACUGGGCGUAAAGCGUGCGCAGGCGGUUUGUUAAGACAGAUGUGAAGUCCCCGGGCUCAACCUGGGAACUGCAUUUGUGACUGGCAAGCUAGAGUCUGGCAGAGGGGGGUGGAAUUCCGCGUGUAGCAGUGAAAUGCGUAGAUAUGCGGAGGAACACCGAUGGCGAAGGCAGCCCCCUGGGCCAACACUGACGCUCAUGCACGAAAGCGUGGGGAGCAAACAGGAUUAGAUACCCCCGUAGUCCCUGUCUCUUAUAC